CUCUCAUGGAUGAUACAAAAUUUAGAAAGGAAUCAACCACUAGAAAUAAAUGAAUGAAAGGGAGGAAAAAAAAGAGAAGAGAGAAAAGCCAUGGACACCCAGAAGCCAAAUUGAUGCAAAUUUCUCUAAGCUUUAUUGGAAAAAAAAGGGAAAAAAUCAGUUUUCAUAAAUAAUACUCCUUCUUCUGCCAUGUUGAUAUUGUUCAGAGGAGUGUUUAUAUGACUAUUUGACUGGUUACUGGUGUCUUUCAUUGCUUUGGAAAGGAAAGUUUGUACACACACUGAAGAAGAAGAAGAAGAUAAAAACCAGCAGCCUUACAGGAAUAUGAAGGCCUCUGCUCGUACUCCCUCAGUACAAGGAAAAUGGAGGCUUUCUUCAAUUAAGGACAGUUCAUUUCCACCUGUGGACUUCUAACUUCAAUUCUGAUGCUUUCAACUCUGAUGAAAAUAUAGACCAGAUCAUUCUCUGAAUAAAACUGUGAUAACUGUCAGCAGUCAUAAAAGGUUUAUGGUUUACACUCUUUGUGCAAUCCUUGGAUAUAAACAUUGUUUUUGGAUUUACCUUCCUUGGUGGAAUAAUUUUCAUGAAUUGACCCCAUUGCUGUUUGAACUGAACGCAGAUCUGAAUUAG
rnacentral:lncRNA from 1 species